rnacentral:rRNA from 1 species
GCCCUUGGAAGGGGUGUAUUUAUUAGAUUAAAAACCAAUGCCCUUCGGGGCUCACUGGUGAUUCAUGAUAACUCCUCGAAUCGCAUGGCCUUGUGCCGGCGAUGGUUCAUUCAAAUUUCUUCCCUAUCAACUUUCGAUGUUUGGGUAUUGGCCAAACAUGGUUGCAACGGGUAACGGAGGGUUAGGGCUCGACCCCGGAGAAGGAGCCUGAGAAACGGCUACUACAUCCAAGGAAGGCAGCAGGCGCGCAAAUUACCCAAUCCCGACACGGGGAGGUAGUGACAAUAAAUACUGAUACAGGGCUCUUUUGGGUCUUGUAAUUGGAAUGAGUACAAUUUAAAUCCCUUAACGAGGAACAAUUGGAGGGCAAGUCUGGUGCCAGCAGCCGCGGUAAUUCCAGCUCCAAUAGCGUAUAUUAAAGUUGUUGUGGUUAAAAAGCUCGUAGUUGAACCUUGGGCCUGGCUGGCCGGUCCGCCUCGCCGCGUGUACUGGUCCGGCCGGGCCUUUCCCUCUGUGGAACCCCAUGCCCUUCACUGGGUGUGGCGGGGAACCAGGACUUUUACAAGGGC